rnacentral:rRNA from 1 species
AUACGGAGGGUCCAAGCGUUAUCCGGAUUCAUUGGGUUUAAAGGGUCCGCAGUCGGGAAAAUAAGUCAGUGGUGAAAGCCUACAGCUCAACUGUAGAACUGCCAUUGAUACUGUUUUUCUUGAGUAUAGAUGAAGUGGGCGGAAUAUAUCAUGUAGCGGUGAAAUGCAUAGAUAUGAUAUAGAACACCGAUUGCGAAGGCAGCUCACUAAACUAUUACUGACGCUCAGGGACGAAAGCGUGGGGAGCGAACAGGAUUAGAAACCCUAGUAGUCC